UGAAACUCAAAGGAAUUGACGGGGGCCCGCACAAGCGGAGGAACAUGUGGUUUAAUUCGAUGAUACGCGAGGAACCUUACCCGGGCUCAAACGCUGAUAGACCGGUGUGGAAACACGCCUUCCCUUCGGGGCUGUCAGCGAGGUGCUGCAUGGUUGUCGUCAGCUCGUGCCGUGAGGUGUCGGCUUAAGUGCCAUAACGAGCGCAACCCCCAUCUUCAGUUGCCACCGCGUUAAGGGCGGGCACUCUGGAGAGACUGCCGGCGCAAGCUGUGAGGAAGGCGGGGAUGACGUCAAAUCAGCACGGCCCUUACGUCCGGGGCGACACACGUGUUACAAUGGCGGGGCACAGAAGGAAGCCAGGCGGCGACGCCGAGCCGAUCCCUAAAACCCGUCUCAGUUCGGAUCGGAGUCUGCAACCCGACUCCGUGAAGCUGGAUUCGCUAGUAAUCGCGCAUCAGCCAUGGCGCGGUGAAUACGUUCCCGGGCCUUGUACACACCGCCCGUCAAGCCAUGGAAGCUUGGAGUGCCUGAAGUCCGUGACCGCGAGGAGCGGCCAAGGGUAAGACAAGUGACUGGGGCUAAGUCGUAACA
rnacentral:rRNA from 1 species